UGGAGGCAGCAGUGAGGAAUCUUGCGCAAUGGGGGAAACCCUGACGCAGCGACGCCGCGUGGGUGAUGAAGGCCUUCGGGUCGUAAAGCCCUGUCAGGUGGGAAGAAACGUAUCGGUGCUAAUAUCAUCGAUAUUUGACGGUACCACCGGAGGAAGCACCGGCUAACUCCGUGCCAGCAGCCGCGGUAAUACGGAGGGUGCAAGCGUUGUUCGGAAUUACUGGGCGUAAAGCGCGUGUAGGCGGUCAGGUAAGUCAGAUGUGAAAGCCUUCCGCUUAACGGAAGAAGGGCAUUUGAAACUACCUGGCUGGAGUACGGGAGAGGAGAGUGGAAUUCCCGGUGUAGAGGUGAAAUUCGUAGAUAUCGGGAGGAACACCAGUGGCGAAGGCGGCUCUCUGGCCCGAUACUGACGCUGAGACGCGAAAGCGUGGGGAGCAAACAGGAUUAGAUACCCCUGUAGUCCC
rnacentral:rRNA from 1 species